rfam:Berkelbacteria bacterium GW2011_GWA2_35_9 TR93_C0001, whole genome shotgun sequence.
GUUUAAUAAUAAUGUCGACCAAAGACAGGUGGUAUAAAAAUAAAUCCGCCCGAGGUGAUAAAAAAUUUCUUUUUAUAUUACCUCGUAACUUACGCAGGUUUUUUUAUGUUAAA